ACGUGACCGGCGGCCUGUGCCCGUGUAAAGCUCUUUCGACGAGUCGAGUUGUUUGGGAAUGCAGCUCAAAAUGGGUGGUAUAUUUCAUCUAAAGCUAAAUAUUGGCCAGAGACCGAUAGCGCACAAGUAGAGUGAUCGAAAGAUGAAAAGCACUUUGGAAAGAGAGUUAAACAGUACGUGAAAUUGUUGAAAGGGAAGCGCUUGCAAUCAGACUUGCACGCGGUCGAUCAUCCGAGGUUCUCCCCGGUGCACUCGACCGUGUUCAGGCCAGCAUCGGUUUCGGUGGUGGGAUAAAGGCCGUGGGAAUGUGGCUCCUCUCGGGGAGUGUUAUAGCCCUCGGUGCAAUGCCGCCUACCGGACCGAGGACC
rnacentral:rRNA from 1 species